rnacentral:rRNA from 1 species
UAAAGCGCGCGUAGGUGGUUUGUUAAGUUGGAUGUGAAAUCCCCGGGCUCAACCUGGGAACUGCAUCCAAAACUGGCAAGCUAGAGUAUGGUAGAGGGUGGUGGAAUUUCCUGUGUAGCGGUGAAAUGCGUAGAUAUAGGAAGGAACACCAGUGGCGAAGGCGACCACCUGGACUGAUACUGACACUGAGGUGCGAAAGCGUGGGGAGCAAACAGGAUUAGAUACCCUAG